GCCCGGCUAGCUCAGGCGGAAGAGCAUGAGACUCUUAAUCUCAGGGUCGAGGGUUCGAGCCCCAAGUUGGGCG
rnacentral:tRNA from 1 species